UUGGGGGUGGCUGGCAGAAAAAUGAGGCAGGCCGCUGGACCGUCGAAGGAUCUUGCGUGACCUCGAGCAGCCUCUGAGGAGUCAAUUUCGAUUAUUUUUCCUCAUAGAUUCCCACCUGGGAACCUGGGCCUCAGUUUUCCUAUCUGGGAAGAGGGCAAGGAGUCGUCCUCACACCCACACACGGCAGUGAUGGGGCAAACCGUAGAUGAGCUGCUUUGGUUCCUGCUCAGCAAAGAGUUUCUCUGAGCCUCGACUUCCUUCUGCUUCAGCCUACUGAGUGGCUAGGACCACAGAUUUUGGGUGAAGCGUGUGCAGAAGAUAACCUGAAGUUCUUUGGGGCAAGACUUACCGACUGUAUCUUUGUGGCCUGCAGUAGCUAAGGAACUUACAGAAGUGCCAUAGCCAAGGAGCAACAUAACCCCAGGAGAAUCCAGACUGGGCCACAAGACACUCGUCUGCCGCUGUGAUAGCCAAAGGUCUGGAACUUCCACUAGAGAGAAAACCAACCAGAUGUCAACUAGCCUGACACGCUUGUUGGCAUGUGUGAAAACCCACGUGCACAGAAGGUAGGCAACCUUCUAGAGGGAGGACAGGUGUUGUUAUCUUCAUUUCAGGAGUGAGGAAACAGAGGUGUCACAAGAUUCAGUGACCUGUUUGAGGUCACCCAACUGGCUCAUCAAAUAGCACCACACUCCAGAAAGUGCUGUAAGCCCUGGACCACACUGCCAGGCCCCCAGCUGUCACUCUCCAAAGAACACAUUGGCUCAGACUUCCUACUCCCAGGCCAGCAGCUC